rnacentral:rRNA from 1 species
UACGGAGGGUGCAAGCGUUAUCCGGAUUUACUGGGUUUAAAGGGUGCGCAGGCGGAUAUGUAAGUCAGUGGUGAAAUCUUCCCGCUUAACGGGAAAACUGCCAUUGAUACUAUAUAUCUUGAAUGCUGUGGAGGUAAGCAGAAUAUGUCAUGUAGCGGUGAAAUGCUUAGAGAUGACAUAGAAUACCUAUUGCGAAGGCAGCUUACUACGCAGAUAUUGACGCUCAUGCACGAAAAGCGUGGGGGAUCAAACAGG